rnacentral:RNase_P_RNA from 1 species
AGCCGGGUUCUGUCGUGGACAAUCAUUCCUCUAGGCGUACAUUUACAUAUACGCUCAAGCAACCUACCCGAACUCUCAGCGGGCCACCGAUUGAGUUCCUAUCCGGUCUUGCUACGAGUGGAGUUUACCCUGCUGUGGAAUGUUACCACCCACACGGUGCGCUCUUACCGCACCCUUGGGGGGGGUAGAAAAAAACCAGCUGUCUGCUCUCUGUUGCACUGGUCGUAAGCUCACGCCCCCCGGACGUUAUCCGGCACUCUGCCCUGUGUAGCCCGGACUUUCCUCCCCA